rnacentral:rRNA from 1 species
GACGAACGCUGGCGGCGUGCUUAACACAUGCAAGUCGAACGGAAAGGCCCUGCUUUUGUGGGGUGCUCGAGUGGCGAACGGGUGAGUAACACGUGAGUAACCUGCCCUUGACUUUGGGAUAACUUCAGGAAACUGGGGCUAAUACCGGAUAUGAGCUCCUGCUGCAUGGUGGGGGUUGGAAAGUUUCGGCGGUUGGGGAUGGACUCGCGGCUUAUCAGCUUGUUGGUGGGGUAGUGGCUUACCAAGGCUUUGAAGGGUAGCCGGCCUGAGAGGGUGACCGGCGACAUUGGGACUGAGAUACGGCCCAGACUCCUACGGGAGGCAGCAGUGGGGAAUAUGGCACAAUGGGCGGAAGCCUGAUGCAGAAACGCCGCGUGCGGGAUGACGGCCUUCGGGUUGUAAACCGCUUUCGCCUGUGACGAAGAGUGAGUGACGGUAAUGGGUAAAGAAGCACCGGCUAACUACGUG